AAACUAAGGACGGUGUAAAUAGUCGUUUAGAUCUCGUUGAAAUGGGUAUACGACAAUCUCUGGCACCUGAGAAGAAAGGUGAACGUUUAUAUUUGCCUCCUGCUUGUUUCACUUUAUCCAAAAAAGAGAAACAAACAGUUUGCAAAUCACUUGCAAAUAUGAAAGUACCCGAUGGUUACUCGUCUAACAUCAAAAACUUGGUGAAUGAGACUGAAUUGAAACUAAUGGGUCUGAAAUCACAUGAUUGUCAUGCGUUAAUGCAACAUCUACUUCCAAUUGCCAUUAGAUCAGUCUUGCCAAAAAAUGUUCGAGAGUGUUUGACACAUGUUUGCAUUUUCUUUAAUAGGCUGUGCGGGAAGGAAUUAGAAUUGGAUAAGUUAGAUGCAUUACAUGAACAUGUAGUCAAAACAUUGUGCAACCUGGAAAAGUUUUUUCCGCCAUCUUUUUUCGACAUCAUGAUCCAUUUAAUGGUUCAUCUAGUGAGAGAAGCAAGGCUGUGUGGGCCGGUGUGGGCGAGAUGGAUGUAUCCAUUUGAAAGAAAUAUGAAGGUACUUAAAAGUUAUGUGCGUAACCACUAUCGGCCAGAAGCAUGUAUGGUUGAGUGCUACAUAUCUGAAGAGGCUGUGGAAUUUUGUUCAGAGUACAUGGCUGGAGUUGAGGCAAUAGGAAUUAGCAAACCAAGAACUGACCCAGAUGAUGUUGAUAGAGGAUUAAGGGGCAAAGGGACAAUGGUGACAGUGUCCAAGCUUGAACUAGAUCAAGCUCAAUUAGUCGUGAUGAACAAUAACGCAGAGGUUCAACCAUAUAUAACUGACCAUAUGGAGCUGUUACAAUCAAUGGUUCCAAGAAAUCAAAAAAAUAAACAAAAAUGGGUUGCAGACCAACAUCGUCAAACUUUCAUUGGGUGGUUAAGGAAUACCAUUAUAGCAAAGUUGAACGAACCGAAUCAUGGAGUAUCUGAUGUGUUGAGUCGUAUUGCCCUUGGACCAACUUUUGCGGUUGCAAAGCAUGAAGCGUACAUUGUAAGGGGUAAACGUUUUCAUACAAAGUCAAGAGAUGAUGCUCGAGAGGUUCAAAAUAGUGGUAUACGUAUCGUCGCAGAAACUAUGCACUUUGCAAGUGCAAAAGAUAGAAACCCUGUUUUAGGUACUAUGACGUAUUACGGGGUCAUUGAAGAAAUAUGGGAGCUCAAUUAUUUUGCGUUCCGAAUUCCACUUUUUAAGUGUUCUUGGGUUGACAACAACGUUGGAGUAAAAACUGACGAGCUUGGUUUUACUUUGGUUGAUUUAAGUAAGAGAGGAAGCAAGAAUGAUCCAUUCAUCAUGGCUAGCCAAGCAGCUCAAGUUUUUUACAUUUCUGAUCCGGCUAAUGAUAAAUGGUCUAUUGUUUUAUCGACACCAGAGAGGAGGUUCUUAGAGACUGAAGAGGAUGAGGAGAAUGCUGACUUAUGUUACGAUGACUUCAUUGUUGGACAACCAAUUCAUGAGCAACUCAUGGGAAUUGAUCGUAACAUUGAGGAAGACGACGCUGAAUACAUUAGAAACGAUAUCAAUGAGGGAAUAUGGGUCAAUUGUGAUUCAGGCAAACAUAAACAAAAAAAGAAAAGAAAACGUGUCUAAUUGGUAACUUGAUAUAUAGCUUACUUUAUAUUGUGGUUGUGAAUGGUCCUGAAUACUUAACAAUUUGUUUAUGCUUUUAAUAUUUCAUAUACACUACUUGUUAUAUAUGUAGCUAACUUUGAAGUUUGUUUGUUAAUGGUGUAGACAUGGCGAACUCAGAAUCAGGAUCUGAUUCGGGAGCAGAAAAUGAGUGUCCAACCACAAUACCUACACGAGGGCCGACGCAAAUGAAUGAAAUAUCCAAACUAAUGGAUCAGGGCAAAAGAGUGGCCCUCGAAGUUAAUGAUAAAGGUCAAUACUGUGGAAAAAGCUACGCGAAGCUCAUAUCCACUCUGGGAGUCAGAUGUCGGCAGACAAUAGGGUUGGCUUAUAAAAACUGGAAAGAAGUCAACCAGACUCUGAAAAAUAAAGUUUGGAAAGACAUUCAGGUAAGCUAUUAUUUGUUAGAAUUUUGAUUUGUUUUUCUAUUACUCCAAAUGUUGACUCUAACCGUGUUUGUUUUCCUUCAAAAUAGACGGGGUUCAUUGUGCUGGACACCUUCAAACAUGAUUGUCUCAUCCUAGCUGGGAAGUUAAUGAAAGACUUCAAGAAUAGGAUGACAAAAGACAUCAUAAUGCCCGCGUUGAAAGAGAAUGAUCUGGGACGACUGGCACAAGUCCCUGAAAAGCACCCGGAGAUCGACGCUGCUGAUUGGUGCAAAUUUGUUGAAAGUAGACUAACUCCUGAAUUUCUGGAAUUGAGUAAGGUGCAACGUGAACGUUCCUCAAAAAUUCAAUCCAGACAUCGAAGUGGUCGGAGUGGGAUGGUGAACGUACGGGAAGGUUUGUG